AGUGAACGCUGGCGGUAGGCCUAACACAUGCAAGUCGAACGGCAGCACAGUAAGAGCUUGCUCUUACGGGUGGCGAGUGGCGGACGGGUGAGGAAUACAUCGGAAUCUACUUUUUCGUGGGGGAUAACGUAGGGAAACUUACGCUAAUACCGCAUACGACCUACGGGUGAAAGCAGUGGAUCUUCGGACCUUGCGCGAUUGAAUGAGCCGAUGUCGGAUUAGCUAGUUGGCGGGGUAAAGGCCCACCAAGGCGACGAUCCGUAGCUGGUCUGAGAGGAUGAUCGGCCACACUGGAACUGAGACACGGUCCAGACUCCUACGGGAGGCAGCAGUGGGGAAUAUUGGACAAUGGGCGCAAGCCUGAUCCAGCCAUACCGCGUGGGUGAAGAAGGCCUUCGGGUUGUAAAGCCCUUUGGUUGGGAAAGAAAAGCAGCAGGUUAAUACCCCGCUGUUCUGACGGUACCCAAAGAAUAAGCACCGGCUAACUUCGUG
rnacentral:rRNA from 1 species